UGUCUGGAAUCAACGCUGUGAGUUAGAGUAAGAGGAAACAACUGUCUGGAAUCAAUGCUGUGACUUACUGAGAGAGAGGGAACAACUGUCUGCAAUCACCGCUGUGAGGUAAUGAGAGAGAGGGAACAACUGUCUGGAAUCAAUGUUGUGAGUUACUGAGAGAGAGGGAACAAAUGUCUGGAAUUAACGCUGUGAGUUACUGAGAGAGAGGGAACAACUGUCUGGAAUUAACACUGUGAGUUACUGAGAGAGAGGGAACAACUGUCUGGAAUCGACGCUGUGAGUUACUGAGAGAGAGGGAACAACUACAUGGAAUCAACGCUGUGAGUUAGAGAAAGAGGUAACAACUGUCUGGAAUCAACACUGUGAGUAACUGAGAAACAGGGAACAACUGUCUGGAAUCAACGCUGUGAGUUACUAAGAGAGAGGGAACAACUACCUGGAAUCAACGCUGUGAGUUACUGAGAGAGAGGGAACAACUACAUGGAAUCAACGCUGUGAGUUAGAGAAAGAGGUAACAACUGUCUGGAAUCAACGCUGUGAGUUAGAGUAAGAGGAAACAACUGUCUGGAAUCAACGCUGUGAGUUAGAGUAAGAGGGAACAACUGUCUGGAAUCAACGCUGUGAGUUACUGAGAAACAGGGAACAACUGUCUGGAAUCAACACUGUGAGUUGCAGAGAGAGAGAGGGAACAACUGUCUGGAAUCAACACUGUGAGUUACUGAGAGAGAGGGAAAAACUGUCUGGAAUCAACGCUGUGAGUUACUGAGAAAGAGGGAACAACUGUCUGGAAUUAACACUGUGAGUUACUGAGAGAGAGGGAACAACUGUCUGGAAUCAAUGCUGUGACUUACUGAUAGAGAGGGAACAACUGUCUACAAUCACCGCUGUGAGUUACUGAGAAAGAGGGAACAACUGUCUGGAAUUAACACUGUGAGUUACUGAGAGAGAGGGAAGAACUGUCUGGAAUCAAUGCUGUGACUUACUGAGAGAGAGGGAACAACUGUCUACAAUCACCGCUGUGAGUUACUGAGAAAGAGGGAACAAAUGUCUGGAAUCACCGCUGUGAGGUAAUGAGAGAGAGGGAACAACUGUCUGGAAUCACCGCUGUGAGGUAAUGAGAGAGAGGGAACAACUGUCUGGAAUCACCGCUGUGAGUUACUGAGAAAGAGGGAACAAAUGUCUGGAAUCACCGCUGUGAGGUAAUGAGAAAGAGGGAACAAAUGUCUGGAAUCACCGCUGUGAGGUAAUGAGAGAGAGGGAACAACUGUCUACAAUCACCGCUGUGAGUUACUGAGAAAGAGGGAACAAAUGUCUGGAAUCACCGCUGUGAGGUAAUGAGAGAGAGGGAACAACUGUCUGGAAUCACCGCUGUGAGGUAAUGAGAGAGAGGGAACAACUGUCUGGAAUCACCGCUGUGAGGUAAUGAGAGAGAGGGAACAACUGUCUGGAAUCACCGCUGUGAGGUAAUGAGAGAGAGGGAACAACUGUCUGGAAUCACCGCUGUGAGGUAAUGAGAGAGAGGGAACAACUGUCUGGAAUCACCGCUGUGAGGUAAUGAGAGAGAGGGAACAACUGUCUGGAAUCACCGCUGUGAGGUAAUGAGAGAGAGGGAACAACUGUCUGGAAUCAAUGUUUUGAGUUACUGAGAGAGGGAACAAAUGUCUGGAAUCACCGCUGUGAGGUAAUGAGAGAGAGGGAACAACUGUCUGGAAUCAAUGUUUUGAGUUACUUAGAGAUAGGGAAAACUGUCUGGAAUCAACUCUGUGAGUUACUGAGAGAGAGGAAACAACUGUCUGGAAUCAACGCUGUGAGUUACUUAGAGAUAGGGAAAACUGUCUGGAAUCAACUCUGUGAGUUACUGAGAGAGAGGGAACAACUGUCUGGAAUCAACACUGUGAGUUACUGAGAGAGAGGGAACAACUGUCUGGAAUUUACGCUGUGAGUUACUGAGAGAGAGGGAAAAACUGUCUGGAAUCACCGCUGUGAGUUACUGAGAGAGAGAGAGGGAACAAGUGUCUGAGAGAGGGAAUACAGGAAGAAAUGAGAGGGAGUAUUACUGAGUGAGAGAUAAUUGUUAGUGUGUGUGUUUGUGUGUGUGUUUGUGUGUGUUUUUGUGUGUGAGUCACCAGUGAUUUUAUUGUAUCUAUUUUAUGUUCUUUUAUAUUGUUGUGUAUUGUUUUACAUCGUUUUAACAGCCUGGAUAAGUCAGAUUGAGGUUUUUAUGACUCUGCUUUACUGAAUGGAAACAUAAUGUUUGUUUUAAUCU